CGCUGUAUUCCUCCAAGCUCCCCAUAAAAGUCGCUAUGUUUUUAGUUCCCCUCGAUACGACUUUGUUCAGAUGGCGGUGCGGUGGACGCACGACAUCGACAAGAAUUCUCGACUACACGUGGCGGAAUUACGUACUUUAAUAUCACGUCGCGCAGCCUGGGAGCGUCACAUCACUCUCAGGAUCACAGCGGUGAUCUUCGAAAUUCAUCUCGCGUGACGAUCAUGGGUUUCCUCCUUCGUGUAUAAGCCCGACGAUGUAACUGUGUGUAUCCUAAACACAAAUUCAACGAAACCAAAUCCGCGCAUUUUGAGAGUUACGGUCGUCCUUCGCCAUUGUCAAGUGUAAUCGACUACCGGCUAUAAAUCUUUCGCAGACUGUGAUGAAACGCGACGUGAUCCAAGUACCUAACACAUAUUUUUAUUUAAAUAUUACCAGUCGUGUCUUGUUGCAGUAUUCGAGGUGCAGAUAGAAAAAACCAGUUAUAAAAAAAAGCCACGGCGGACAAGAAUUGAAAAAGGAGCGGCAUGUUGAGAGAUUGUGAAACGCGAUCGAUCGUGUAUCAAGCGUCUUCAAAAAUCACACGUGUCACAUCCCUCGUAUUCGCGAACGCAGCGUGGAUAUAUUUUCACCGAAGAAGAAUAUGCAAUAUAGAGCAGAUACCGCAUCGGAAAACGUAUCAGUCUCCUUCGUCGAGAGAAAGGAACGAAACGUUUCCCCAACCGUCUAAAGCACCCUUGACGAAGCUGAGGUUGUUGGUACCCGGUGCGCUCUCGUCAGCCACGGAUUGUGCACGUUCCACACGAAAUUCAUUCACAUGAUCCACCUCGAAGCCGCAGGGAAAGAUUCAUUUGGACACAAUCGCUUAUAUCGACCGGUGUUUAGGAUAACCGGGACGAUUGACCAAUUAAAGAGUUCUAUGUUCAACUGGCCAAUAAGCAAUAUGUCCAAUUGAAUGCCACUCGAAGCCGCGAUAUCGUUUAUAACGCGACUGAACGCGGCGCGGAAGCUGAAUGAAACUCGAAAUCCCAAAGUCGUUCCUGAUUACGAGCAGUUGGCCCCGAAGAUUCUCUGUAUAACAUCAUUAAAAAGUAACCGUACUUGUCAUUCAGCCCUCGAAUAAACUUCUUAUUAAGUCUCGAUAAACAAUUUUUUUUUUCUUUUUUUUAUGACUCACGUCUCCUCGCCAACUAUGCCGCAAUGUAUAUGUGUUAAUUGUGCCGUCAGUAGGUGAGCAUGUGUAAUAGAGGUGCUAUUAACGGUAAUGUAUCUUCAUGGAACUGCAUAUAUUAAAUUGCUUGCCCUCUGAAACUCUUGUCAGUAUGCCAGCGGUGUUUCUCGAUAACGCGAUCCGUCAAUUAAUAGUGCACGACAAUAAUGUUGGAGGAAACGAACGGCCAGUAUGUUUAUCAGUGAGCGUAGUGUUACUAUGUAUGCGAUGCAAUUGCCCAAGUCAGAAACGCCGCAAACUCGCUGCCAAUUAUUCAAUGGCGUCAAGGAUAUUAUAUUUGAGCUAUGCCUUCACUUGCAGAAAAUAUAAUAGAUCUACUGAUAAAACUGGAUGACAGUUUUAUCGACAUUCUACAUGUGCCUUCUUUUAGCAUUAUUCCUUUUAUGAUAAUAAAAAACCAAAGAUCUUUCAUCAGCA